CGGGGUGCACCAGGCGCGAAAACUCUACAAUGCAGGCAACUGCGAUAGGGGGACAUCGAGUGGCAUCCACCUUGGGUGCCUGUCCAACCGUCUAAAAAACGGUUGUUAGCAAGGGCCGGGUAAGACCGGUGCCAGCCGCCGCGGUAAUACCGGCGGCUCGAGUGGUGGCCGAUAUUAUUGAGUCUAAAGGGUCCGUAGCCGGCUUUGCAAGUCCCCUGGGAAAUCCAGCGGCUUAACCGUUGGGCUUUCAUGGGAUACUACAUUGCUUGGGACUGGGAGAGGUAGGAGGUACUCGGGGGGUAGGGGUGAAAUCCUGUAAUCCUCCGGGGACCACCGGUGGCGAAGGCGUCCUACCAGAACAGGUCCGACGGUGAGGGACGAAAGCUAGGGGCACGAGCCGGAUUAGAUACCCGGGUAGUCCUAGCCGUAAACGAUGCCCGCUAGGUGUCACGACGGUCGUGAAUCGUCGUGGUGCCGUAGGGAAGCCGCGAAGCGGGCCACUUGGGAAGUACGGCCGCAAGGCUGAAACUUAAAGGAAUUGGCGGGGGAGCACAAGGGCGAAUCGCGG
rnacentral:rRNA from 1 species